rnacentral:rRNA from 1 species
AGUGAACGCUGGCGGCGUGCCUAAUACAUGCAAGUCGAACGGAGUGGAGCACGGGUGAGUAAUAUAUAGCUAAUCUGCCCCUUGCUGGAGGACAACCGUGAGAAAUGACUGCUAAUACUCCAUAAAAAGGGAUGAGACUAUAUCGUAUCAGCUAGUCGGUGGGGUAACGGCCUACCGAGGCUAUGACGCGUAACUGGUCUGAGAGGAUGAUCAGGCACAUUUGAACUGAGACACGGUCCAAACUCCUACGGGAGGCAGCAGUAGGGAAUAGUGCGCAAUGGGGGAAAUCAUGACGCAGCAACGCCGCGUGGAGGAUGAUACUUUUCGGAGCGUAAACUCCUUUUGUUAGGGAAGCGGUACCUAACGAAUAAGCACCGGCUAACUCCGUGCCAGCAGCCGCGGUAAUUC